rnacentral:rRNA from 1 species
AGUGAACGCUGGCGGUAGGCCUAACACAUGCAAGUCGAACGGCAGCACAGUAAGAGCUUGCUCUUACGGGUGGCGAGUGGCGGACGGGUGAGGAAUACAUCGGAAUCUACUUUUUCGUGGGGGAUAACGUAGGGAAACCUACGCUAAUACCGCAUACGACCUACGGGUGAAAGCAGGGGAUCUUCGGACCUUGCGCGAUUGAAUGAGCCGAUGUCGGAUUAGCUAGUUGGCGGGGUAAAGGCCCACCAAGGCGACGAUCCGUAGCUGGUCUGAGAGGAUGAUCAGCCACACUGGAACUGAGACACGGUCCAGACUCCUACGGGAGGCAGCAGUGGGGAAUAUUGGACAAUGGGCGCAAGCCUGAUCCAGCCAUACCGCGUGGGUGAAGAAGGCCUUCGGGUUGUAAAGCCCUUUUGUUGGGAAAGAAAAGCAGCAGGUUAAUACCCCGCUGUUCUUACGGUACCCAAAGAAUAAGCACCGGCUAACUUCGUG